rnacentral:rRNA from 1 species
AUUGAACGCUGGCGGCAUGCUUUACACAUGCAAGUCGGACGGCAGCACAGAGAAGCUUGCUUCUUGGGUGGCGAGUGGCGAACGGGUGAGUAAUAUAUCGGAACGUACCGAGUAAUGGGGGAUAACUAAUCGAAAGAUUAGCUAAUACCGCAUAUUCUCUGAGGAGGAAAGCAGGGGACCUUCGGGCCUUGCGUUAUUCGAGCGGCCGAUAUCUGAUUAGCUAGUUGGUGGGGUAAAGGCCUACCAAGGCGACGAUCAGUAGCGGGUCUGAGAGGAUGAUCCGCCACACUGGGACUGAGACACGGCCCAGACUCCUACGGGAGGCAGCAGUUGGGAAUUUUGGACAAUGGGCGCAAGCCUGAUCCAGCCAUGCCGCGUGUCUGAAGAAGGCCUUCGGGUUGUAAAGGACUUUUGUCAGGGAAGAAAAGGCUGUUGCUAAUAUCGACAGCUGAUGACGGUACCUGAAGAAUAAGCACCGGCUAACUACGUG